AUGUUACAGUACUGUGACAUUAAAAAAGAGUUCUGGCUCUCGAGCUUCAGAAGCUGUUGUAUAAUGUUAUAUAGGUUUAUAAUAAACAGUUCUUCUCUUUCCCAAUGCAUGUAUCUAUUAUUGAUAGGUACUGCAUAUUUCUGUCUUCUCAUGUUUGUGUUCCUUGACUCCUGUCCUUGUGCAUCUUUGUCUCCUUUCUCUCCUUUGCCUUUCUCUCCUUUGCCUUUCUCUCCUCCUCAUACACACAUACGCAUAUGUCUAACUUUUUCUCUUUCUCGAUCCUUUGCUAGAUCUCCCAAAUCUCUUCUCUCUUUUUUGUGUUACACAGUUUUAGUAUCAUACAUGGUUGUAUCACAGACAUUAAUUGUCACUUGCUGCAAUGUGGGAACAGAAAUGCAAAUAAAUGCUAUCAAAAUUGUAACAACAGUAAGACACAAUGCACACUAUAGUGCUUUUGUGUACAGUACAUGUACUGAAAGUGAGUGGGAGUAUGGUGUCUUAUUGAAUCCAUGUACAUUUAAUUAUUUAGGAUAUGUCCAAGAAAGUAACAUUAAUGCUGUGUUGCAUUGGCUGAAGCAUAAUGAUGUGCCUCAAUCCUGAUAUGUACCUCUAUCUUGCAAUGGACCAAGAUACUACUGAUGUCAUCACAUAAUGACUCUUACAUAAUUCAAGCAUAAAGACGACACAAAGAUUGAAACCUGAUUUAUUAAAUUAUUUUUUUUAAUAAUUAUUAUUGUUUAAAUGUAAUAAUCCGAUUCAGUGAAAACAAUAACAAGAAUUUUUAUUAAUUUAUUGAUAAUCAUUAUACA